GAACGCUGGCGGCGUGCUUAACACAUGCAAGUCGAACGAAGCACUUAAGACAGAUUCUUCGGAUGAAGUCUUUGUGACUGAGUGGCGGACGGGUGAGUAACGCGUGGGUAACCUGCCUCAUACAGGGGGAUAACAGUUAGAAAUGACUGCUAAUACCGCAUAAGCGCACGGUAUCGCAUGAUACAGUGUGAAAAACUCCGGUGGUAUAAGAUGGACCCGCGUCUGAUUAGCUUGUUGGUGAGGUAACGGCCCACCAAGGCGACGAUCAGUAGCCGGCCUGAGAGGGUGAACGGCCACAUUGGGACUGAGACACGGCCCAAACUCCUACGGGAGGCAGCAGUGGGGAAUAUUGCACAAUGGGGGAAACCCUGAUGCAGCGACGCCGCGUGAGUGAUGAAGUAUUUCGGUAUGUAAAACUCUAUCAGCAGGGAAGAUAAUGACGGUACCUGACUAAGAAGCACCGGCUAAAUACGUG
rnacentral:rRNA from 1 species